rnacentral:tRNA from 1 species
GAAGAUUUAGUUAAAAUUUUAUAACAUUAGAAUGUCAAACUAAAAUUAUUCUCAAAUAAUCUUUU